CCACAUGACUCUCGGCAACGGAUAUCUCGGCUCUCGCAUCGAUGAAGAACGUAGCGAAAUGCGAUACCUGGUGUGAAUUGCAGAAUCCCGCGAACCAUCGAGUCUUUGAACGCAAGUUGCGCUUGAGGCCAUUCGGCUGARGGCACGCCUGCCUGGGCGUCACGC
rnacentral:rRNA from 1 species